CCUGGCCUCGCUCAGUGGGUUAAGGAUCCGGCGUUGCUGUGAGCUGUGGUGUGGGUCACAGACGUGGUUCAGAUCUCACCUCGCUGUGGCUGUGGCGUAGGCCAGUGGCUACAGCUCUGAUUAGACCCCUAGCCUGGGAACCUCCAUAUGCCGUGGGUACAGCCCUAAAAAGAUAUUAAAAAAAAAAAAAGAAAAAUAAUACAUUCCUGGAGGAGGUUGUAACUGCAAUUAGGUUAGGUGUUAAGUCUUGGUUUGCUGACGUGGGGCUUAAUACAAAUAACUCCAUUUUGGACCUGUCAUUUCUUAACAGCACAAGUCAUAACAGCACUGCUAUUUGCUAAACAAGUAAUCCAGUUAGGUGAUGGCAGAUAUUUUUAGUAUGGAAAAGUAUUUUAAACAACGGAAUCUCAGCCCUGUUCGCAUACCUAUGCUUUAUAAACAAAGGCUAAGGUAAAUACACUAAAAUGUUAACCCUGGCCAUUUCUGUGCAGGAGAACUACAGGAGAUUUGUGUUUUGUUCAUGUUCCAGAUAUUGAAUAACAAUCAUGUAUGACUUUUAUGAUCAAGGAAAAACCAUUUUAAAAAGUAAGAAAAGAUUUGGGAGUUCCCAUUGUGCCUCAGCAGGUUAAGAACCUGAAUAUUGUCUCAAACUGUGGGGUAGGUUGAAGUUGCAGCUGGGACCUGGCAUUGUUGUGGCUGUGGUGAAGGCCGGCAGCUGCAGCUCCAAUCCGACCCCUAGCCUGGGAACUUCCAUAUGCUGCAGGUGUGGCCAUAAAACAACAACAACAACAAAUUUAGGAGUUCCUGUUGUGGCUUAGCAGGUUAAGGAUUCGGUGUUGUUAUUGCUGUGGCUCAGGCCAUGGCUGUGGCUGGUAUUGAUGAGGAUGUGGGUUCGAUCCCUGCCCUCAAUCAGUCGGUUAAGGAAAUGACAUUGCCACAAGCAGCAGCGUACGUCCCAGGUAUGGCUUAGAUCUGGCAUGGCUGUAGUGUAGGCUGGCAGCUGCAGCUAUGAUUUAACUCCUCGUCUGGAAACUGCCAUGUGCCCAGGCGUGGCCCCAAAAAGAAAAAAAAAAAAAGUUUUAAAUGUUGAAUAAUAAAUAUUUUAAAAUACAUGGUCUUGAGACCGAGCAGAACUGUGUGGGGCCCUCCUGGGCACAGAAGCCUUUCUGCGUCUCCAGUUUCUUCGUGGGAAAGAAGCUUCAGCCUCCAAGACUUUCCCUGAGUUCAGAGGGCAGAAUCAAAUAGUUGACUCUUUAUUCAAAAUAGUUGAACUAUUUAAAUAGUUCACUAACUAUUUAGGGGAAGUAAGGGAAUAGUUCACUAACUAGAGGGAGUGAGGGAAUUAUUCACUACUAACUAUUGAGGGGAAGUGAGGGAAUGCAGAAACAAAGGGAAAUCAGUCAAGAAAAAACAGGGCGGAAUAAAGCAGAGUCCUAGCUCCUCCUCAAAGGAUAUUCAUACAAAUAUACCUUUGAGUUCUUCUGCAGGAACUAAGACCCCAAGGGGAGGAUGGUAACUUGAGCACAAGAUUACUGGACCCUGCCCUGUCACCUCACCAUUGAACAAACAGAAGAAAGUCACACACCCUGCAGCCCUAAAAUUCUCCCCGCAAAACCACCAGGGAAUUCAGGUUUUUUGAGCACGAGCCAUCUGUUCUUGCUUGGCCCUUACAGUAAACUGUUCUCCACUCCAUACCUCCUCCCCGACUCCAGCCCCAGGUGAGGCACACGAAUUUGUGUGCAGUAACAGUAGUACCUGCCUCAAAAGCCUCUCCAUCCUGAGACCUACCACACAAAUGCCCACUUUUGCAGAGCUGUGGUACAGAGAGCAUGUCAAGUGUUAGACAAUUUGAAGAUUCAACACAAAGAAUAAGUGAAUGAAGCAGCUUAUUGGGGUUUGGUUUUGGAUGCAUAUCUGGGCCAAUCAAGUUAUCAGUUUACUUUUCAGAAAACAUUAUCAUGGAAUGGUUUGAAAGAUACUAUCUAGUUUUAUCUUCAUCCUCCACUUCCCACACCCUUUCUAAAUUUAAAUUUCACUCUUUACAAAGGGUUGCUGAUACAAUCUGAUACCAAGAAUUCUAUUCACUUUUUUUUUUUUUUUUUUGCUUUUUAGGGCCAAACCCGCGGCAUAUGGAGGUUCCCAGGCUAGGGGUCUAAUUGGAGCUGUAGCUGCCGACCUACGCCAUAGCCACAGCCACAGCAAUGCAGGAUCCCAGCUGUGUCUGCGACCUACACCACAGGUCACAGCACCGGAUCCUUAACCCACUGAGCAAGGCCAGAGAUUGAACCCACAAUCUCAUGGUUCCUAGUUGGUUUCGUUUCCGCUGCGCCACUAGGGGAACUCCUUGAUUCACUUUAGAUUCUUAAUUUUAACAAUAGAAAGUGUAGGGGUGGAAAUAAUCUUCCCUCUACCCUUAUGAGUUCUCACCUGAGACCCCUUGUAAUAGAUGAUCAAGAGAAAAACAAACAAGCUAAGUGCCUAGAUUGACUGAAGUCACCACCUUAAUUACUAUCUUCAGCCAAAGACAAAAGAAAGUUGUAGGGUGUAUGGAGGGAGGCCAGUUACGGAGGUUUGGGGAAAAGCACCUAAACAAGGGUAAAGAUUGUUUGGCACACUUGUCAGUACUUUCCCCAUUGAGAUUCUUUUGCAAUUUAGAAUCAACCUUCUUUUCCAGGUACCUUGAGGGAGACAUUUACAACAGUAAAUUUCCCUUAGAAAAGAGUAACUUCUGGAGUUCCCUGGUGGCUCAGUGGGUUAAGGAUUUGGUGUUAUUGCUGUGGCUCAGGACAUGGCUGUGGCUGGCCAGGAACUUCCAAGUUCCAUACCCCUCCUCCCCCAAAGGGGUUAACUUUGACUCUAUUUUCAGAGUCUCCAGAGCCUGCUCUUUCUCAGAAAUAAUCAGCUUAAAAUAAUCCUUAUGCCAAAGAGGCAUAUUUUGGGGUAGCAUAUUCUGCAGCUUUUCAAAAAAAGUUUUCUAUUUUUACAUAGCAAAGCUUAACCAACCUGAUUAACCCUCUUCAACCCCACCUGAAAUUCUUUCCUUCCCUUUUAUCCUCAGCACUAUCCCAAUUCUCCCUCUUUUUUUUUUUAGGGUCUGCAUUCCUGGUAUAUGGAAAUUCCCAGGCUAGGGGGUCCAGUCCGACUUGCAGCUGUGGGCUUAGGCCACAGCCAGCCGAUAUUCCGGGUCCUUAACCCAUUGAGCAAGGCCAGGGAUUGAACCCGCACCCUCACGGAUACUAGUCGGGUUCUUAACCCGCUGAGCCACAACGAACUCCCCUCUCUUUUUCUACCUCUUUGCUCCUCUAAGCCUUCAGGACCCACAGUCCUGUCCUCUUUUUCUCCAUUCCACUCUACAGUGAAGCCCGAAGUGUUUUUCCUCUGAAGUUAAACUUUUCUUAUUUACAUGGUUCCCCCAAAUUCAAUUC
rnacentral:lncRNA from 1 species